rnacentral:sRNA from 1 species
AAAGCUAAUGCUUAUGUGCUUUAGGAGCCAGUGCUGAUCACAUGCCUUGCCUACCUAAUAUCAGUUCUCCUGCUCUGCAUAGCAGGAGAAGGAGCUGGAGUAGUGUUGGUUACGACUAUGGCUAUGUCUGCGUGGAGUUUUCACUCUUGGAAGAUGCCAUCGGAUGCAUGGAGGCCAACCAGGGAACUCUAAUGAUCCAGGACAAAGAAGUUACCCUGGAGUAUGUAUCAAGCCUGGAUUUUUGGUACUGCAAACGAUGUAAGGCAAACAUUGGUGGGCACCGAUCUUCCUGUUCAUUCUGCAAGAACCCAAGAGAAGUGACAGAGGCCAAGCAAGAAUUAAUAACCUACCCUCAGCCUCAGAAAACAUCCAUACCAGCACCAUUGGAAAAACAGCC